AAAAUUGCAGUACUCAAUGGAGUUCCCAACAGAAAUGGUGCUAGCAUUUUCUGUUCUGUUUCGCGCCGUACAAAAAAAAUUCAUUGAUUGUUGGUGUGUAAAAAGUUUUUCAUGUGAUGGAUGGGAUGUUUUUCAUGUCUGUGUCUUGGUUCUUGAGAUAGAGACGAAGCAUGAUUGAUCCGCUGGUGUGUAUGUAGUAUUAACGGUUUCUUUCUAGUCAGUGCACAGAUUGACCAGCACCAAUUGAUUAAUUUUGUUCUGAGACUGCUGCUGUUGGAGUAUGUAAGUAUUCAUUUUGGGGAAGUAGACAGCAAACAAAGACAUGGCCCUGAUGAUAAUAAAAAAUAAAAAGAAAGAGUUUGCUCUGGCAGCAGUAUGCAUUUGUUUCUUUUUGUUCAGCUGAGGAAAGCUUUAAGCAACACACUUUGUUUUGUUGGCUUGGUUUUUGCCUCUAACCUUGAUAUUACUCCU
rnacentral:lncRNA from 1 species